rnacentral:rRNA from 1 species
GUUAUAUGGUCAAGUGAAGAAGCGCAUACGGUGGAUGCCUUGGCAGUCAGAGGCGAUGAAAGACGUGGUAGCCUGCGAAAAGCUUCGGGGAGUCGGCAAACAGACUGUGAUCCGGAGAUGUCUGAAUGGGGGAACCCAGCCAUCAUAAGAUGGUUAUCUUGUACUGAAUACAUAGGUGCAAGAGGCGAACCAGGGGAACUGAAACAUCUAAGUACCCUGAGGAAAAGAAAUCAACCGAGAUUCCCUUAGUAGUGGCGAGCGAACGGGGACCAGCCCUUAAGUUGUAUUGAGAUUAGCGGAACGUUCUGGAAAGGACGGCCAUAGUGGGUGAUAGCCCUGUACGCGAAAAUCCCUUUGCAAUGAAAUCGAGUAGGACGGGGCACGAGAAACCUUGUCUGAAUAUGGGGGGACCAUCCUCCAAGGCUAAAUACUACUGACUGACCGAUAGUGAACCAGUACCGUGAGGGAAAGGCGAAAAGAACCGCGGAGAGCGGAGUGAAAUAGAUCCUGAAACCGUAUGCGUACAAGCAGUGGGAGCCCACUUUGUUGGGUGACUGCGUACCUUUUGUAUAAUGGGUCAGCGACUUAUUUUCAGUGGCGAGCUUAACCGAAUAGGGGAGGCGUAGCGAAAGCGAGUCUUAAUAGGGCGUCUAGUCGCUGGGAAUAGACCCGAAACCGGGCGAUCUAUCCAUGGGCAGGUUGAAGGUUGGGUAACACUAACUGGAGGACCGAACCGACUACCGUUGAAAAGUUAGCGGAUGACCUGUGGAUCGGAGUGAAAGGCUAAUCAAGCUCGGAGAUAGCUGGUUCUCCUCGAAAGCUAUUUAGGUAGCGCCUCAUGUAUCACUGUAGGGGGUAGAGCACUGUUUCGGCUAGGGGGUCAUCCCGACUUACCAAACCGAUGCAAACUCCGAAUACCUACAAGUGCCGAGCAUGGGAGACACACGGCGGGUGCUAACGUCCGUCGUGAAAAGGGAAACAACCCAGACCGUCAGCUAAGGUCCCAAAGUCAUGGUUAAGUGGGAAACGAUGUGGGAAGGCUUAGACAGCUAGGAGGUUGGCUUAGAAGCAGCCACCCUUUAAAGAAAGCGUAAUAGCUCACUAGUCGAGUCGGCCUGCGCGGAAGAUGUAACGGGGCUCAAACCAUGCACCGAAGCUACGGGUAUCAUCUUUUGAUGAUGCGGUAGAGGAGCGUUCUGUAAGCCUGUGAAGGUGAGUUGAGAAGCUUGCUGGAGGUAUCAGAAGUGCGAAUGCUGACAUGAGUAACGACAAUGGGUGUGAAAAACACCCACGCCGAAAGACCAAGGUUUCCUGCGCAACGUUAAUCGACGCAGGGUUAGUCGGUCCCUAAGGCGAGGCUGAAAAGCGUAGUCGAUGGAAAACAGGUUAAUAUUCCUGUACUUCUGGUUAUUGCGAUGGAGGGACGGAGAAGGCUAGGCCAGCCUGGCGUUGGUAGUCCAGGUUUAAGGUGGUAGGCUGAGAUCUUAGGUAAAUCCGGGAUCUUAAGGCCGAGAGCUGAUGACGAGUGUUCUUUUAGAACAUGAAGUGGUUGAUGCCAUGCUUCCAAGAAAAGCUUCUAAGCUUCAGGUAACCAGGAACCGUACCCCAAACCGACACAGGUGGUUGGGUAGAGAAUACCAAGGCGCUUGAGAGAACUCGGGUGAAGGAACUAGGCAAAAUGGCACCGUAACUUCGGGAGAAGGUGCGCCGGUGGAGGUGAAGCAUUUACUGCGUAAGCCCCUGCCGGUCGAAGAUACCAGGCCGCUGCGACUGUUUAUUAAAAACACAGCACUCUGCAAACACGAAAGUGGACGUAUAGGGUGUGACGCCUGCCCGGUGCCGGAAGGUUAAUUGAUGGGGUUAGCGCAAGCGAAGCUCUUGAUCGAAGCCCCGGUAAACGGCGGCCGUAACUAUAACGGUCCUAAGGUAGCGAAAUUCCUUGUCGGGUAAGUUCCGACCUGCACGAAUGGCGUAACGAUGGCGGCGCUGUCUCCACCCGAGACUCAGUGAAAUUGAAAUCGCUGUGAAGAUGCAGUGUAUCCGCGGCUAGACGGAAAGACCCCGUGAACCUUUACUAUAGCUUUGCACUGGACUUUGAAUUUGCUUGUGUAGGAUAGGUGGGAGGCUUUGAAGCGUGGACGCCAGUUUGCGUGGAGCCAACCUUGAAAUACCACCCUGGCAACUUUGAGGUUCUAACUCAGGUCCGUUAUCCGGAUCGAGGACAGUGUAUGGUGGGUAGUUUGACUGGGGCGGUCUCCUCCUAAAGAGUAACGGAGGAGUACGAAGGUGCGCUCAGACCGGUCGGAAAUCGGUCGUAGAGUAUAAAGGCAAAAGCGCGCUUGACUGCGAGACAGACACGUCGAGCAGGUACGAAAGUAGGUCUUAGUGAUCCGGUGGUUCUGUAUGGAAGGGCCAUCGCUCAACGGAUAAAAGGUACUCCGGGGAUAACAGGCUGAUACCGCCCAAGAGUUCAUAUCGACGGCGGUGUUUGGCACCUCGAUGUCGGCUCAUCACAUCCUGGGGCUGAAGCCGGUCCCAAGGGUAUGGCUGUUCGCCAUUUAAAGUGGUACGCGAGCUGGGUUUAGAACGUCGUGAGACAGUUCGGUCCCUAUCUGCCGUGGACGUUUGAGAUUUGAGAGGGGCUGCUCCUAGUACGAGAGGACCGGAGUGGACGAACCUCUGGUGUUCCGGUUGUCACGCCAGUGGCAUUGCCGGGUAGCUAUGUUCGGAAAAGAUAACCGCUGAAAGCAUCUAAGCGGGAAACUUGCCUCAAGAUGAGAUCUCACUGGAACCUUGAGUUCCCUAAAGGGCCGUCGAAGACUACGACGUUGAUAGGUUGGGUGUGUAAGCGCUGUGAGGCGUUGAGCUAACCAAUACUAAUUGCCCGUGAGGCUUGACCAUAUAACACCCAAGCAAUU